ACGUGACUUCCGGUGAGCGCCAUGGGUUUUUGCCUUGCUUUUGUCUCAGAGGCAUGUUACGUUUCAUUGCACUGGAAUGAUUUUGCGACAGGUUUAACUACAGUGUGAAGACUGCAAUAUCUGAAGCUGCAGUAACACAACUGAGCCACUAGAUGGAGGUGGUGGUUCAGCAAAAAGGGCCGGGAAAAGAAGACUGCAGCAGUGACAUGAAGGUCCACAGUCAGAUGGCGGCUACUUCUUUUCUCCCCCUAUACUGGAACAGUGUUUCCCCGGGGCGUAUUACAUGUAUGUAAAACCCUUGAUCACCUAUCAGUGUGGGCUUCCCUGCUCGAAGGCUUUUUAUAGUAAAAAAGUUUCAAAUAACAGUUUGCAAGAGUGCUAAAUCUAAGUAGACAGUCUUAGGGUCUGUUUACACAGGACAUUUUUUUGGAUUCAAAAACAGCCAUGUAUUGAAACCGAGCACUUGGGUUCAAGAUGCUUUAUUCAUAAGUUGAACUGCUGAAACUUGAUAUGACAUCUUAAUGCAUUUGUUUAACUGUCUUGUUCAAUUCUGGUUUCCUGAAUAGUCCGAUACUCUCGGAAAUGAACAAAUUGAAUGUAUAAUUCACCAUACGUGAUGCCAGGAGCUGCCUAAUGGCAAAUCAUUAUAUAAGAGCUUGUAUAUUCAAGUACAGUACUUACACAGUCUCAGCAAUUAUCAGCAAUCUGCUCUGUUAGUUCUGUUCUCGAAAUAUACUCUAAACAUUUUGGCAAGCUUUUUAACAUUAAGAGCUAUAUUAUUUUGCUCUUUAAAUACACAUUGGCACUACCUAAUACAGUACUGUGCAAAAGUAUUAGGCCACCACCACCAGCUUUGUUGUUUUAGCAAAGUUUUAAAGUCCAUCCAUAUACAUUUUUCACUCUUUUUAAGAUAUUUUAGCACCUAAGAUAAUUGGCACCUCUCUUGGCACCUCUCUUGGCACGAAACACAUCUUGAGCUUUUUUGAGGAGACUGAAGUCCUGAAGUCAUUUGAUUAGAAUAAGAAAUUAGGGUUUAAUUUUAUAUAGGUUAAGGAGAUCCUGCAGUUGCCUGUUAUUGCUCAAGUGGAAGAGGAGUUUACCCUAAAGUCUUGACACUUCAGCUAAAACUUUUAUACUGUUUUUAAUACUACAUAAAAGUUUCCUGUAUUUUCUGGUUGUAUUCUAAUAAAGAACCAGAGAAAUAAUUAUAUGAUCACUAUACACUUGCAAAAACAACAAAUCUAAUGGUGGCAUGGUGGCCUAAGACCUCAUAAUUCACACGGGUAUAUUUAGCAAAAGCCAAAAAUACAUUGUAUGGGUCA